rnacentral:rRNA from 1 species
CUGGAGGCUUCUGUUGAAAGAGAAGAUUUAUUCAAGAAUUUUGUGUAAAAUGUCGGCGAGCGGCGGACGGCUGAGUAACGCGUGGGAACGUACCCCAAAGUGAGGGAUAACGCAUCGAAAGGUGUGCUAAUACCGCAUAUGGUCUUCGGAUUAAAGCCUUCGGGCGCUUUGGGAACGGCCUGCGUAAGAUUAGAUAGUUGGUGGGGUAAUGGCCUACCAAGUCGACGAUCUUUAACUGGUUUGAGAGGAUGAUCAGUCAGACUGGAACUGAGACACGGUCCAGACUCCUACGGGAGGCAGCAGUGAGGAAUCUUCCACAAUGGGCGAAAGCCUGAUGGAGCAACGCCGCGUGCAGGAUGAAGGCCUUCGGGUUGUAAACUGCUUUUAUAAGUGAGGAUUAUGACAGUAACUUAUGAAUAAGGAUCGGCUAACUACGUGCC